UGUUGUCUCUCAACCGGAAGGUCGAAGGUUCAGAAAUACAAAUUCGACUUUUUAUCUCAUAAUUUUGAAUGAAAUGAGCCCCCCCCCCCCCCCCCUGAGUUUCCCAGUAGACAUUACUCCUCUGUAGUGAGAAUAAAAAUGGCGGACCUGAUCAAAAGUUUUGUUCUAUUCUGCGGGUGGAGUCCAUGGGUGGACAUAUCAGGGGAGGGGAGAAUCCCACUGUGACAUCACAAGGAGAGCACAUUUGAAACGGAGCAUUUUUCUCUGUGUUGUAAGACUUAUGCAGACCACAAACAAAGGACUGGAUGGAUUUAUUUCACAUUUUGUGGGUCUGUAGACACUCAGGUUACCCAAAUAUAUGUUCAGAAACACUGUAGAAGUGGCGUUUUCAUAAUAUGUCCCCUUUAAAAUGACUGACAGAUAUUCUGUAACAUCAUAUGAAAGUUAAUUCAUCCUUUGGCAGACAGCUAUUUUCCAUAUAAGUGUAAAAGUAUGAGAAAGGUAUAUUUAUUAAUCUCAACAUUGAAAUGAAACAGAAACAAAUAUUGAACAUUUAAUCAAAUAUUUAUUUGUUAUGACGACUUUACCGUUUUCAUGUUUUUUUUUAAUUAUAAAUCGUAUUAAAGUGUUCUGUAUUUGUGUUGAUUGACAGGAGGUGGUCAUUGUGUGACAGAGUUAAGAAAGAAAGAGUAGAAGCUGAACAAACAGCUCAA